rnacentral:rRNA from 1 species
UACGGGGGGGGCAAGCGUUGUUCGGAAUUACUGGGCGUAAAGGGUUUGUAGGUGGCUCGCUAAGUCAGACGUGAAAUCCCUCAGCUUAACUGGGGAACUGCGUCUGAGACUGGCGAGCUUGAGUGCAGGAGAGGAACGCGGAAUUCCAGGUGUAGCGGUGAAAUGCGUAGAUAUCUGGAGGAACACCGGUGGCGAAGGCGGCGUUCUGGACUGCAACUGACGCUGAGACGCGAAAGCGUGGGGAGCGAACAGG